GGAGUUAUCCGGGAUGGGAAGAGGCGUUGAAGUAGGAGGGGAGGCGCACGGCGAGCGCGCGUCUUGGCUCAGGUAACCGCCGGGUCUGUUGAUGCGCAGGAGGUCCUCCACCAGAAAGCUCGGGUGAGCGGGGAAAGUCUUGAACCCUCCAUUGGUUGUCACCCUUCGACGUGUCUGCAGGUUUGGAUGAAGAAAGGACUGGGACGGCAGAGACAAUUUUUCCGAGACUAUUAAAUUCAGAUGUCCCUCCUAUUUGGCUGGCUGCAUAACAGAGGAUGUGAACUUUUGAACCAGGAUACGGGCGAUUUUGAGCCGUAGUGAACCCUUCGGUCAGCGCACGCCGUUGGAUUCGUGCACAGGUCAACAUGUGUCCUGGACCUCAGCUCACCCCAAAUACUUUCCCAUUGGCAUCUCUAAACACACAGGGAAGGAGAUUUCAUGGAGCUUGAAAUGCACAGAAGUUUGGAAGCAAAAGCGACGCUGAUCUAAGACAGGCAAGCUGACCGUUGUGUCACAGUUGAGUCUCAGUUGAGGCAAACUUAGUUAACUUUAUGAGCUGUGUCCAAUGUUCUCAUCUAACUUUUACACCACUUCAUGAUGUAAUCAUCUGUGAGAAACAAUACUUUGCAAUAUAUUUGCAAUAUAUGAACAAUAUUUCUUCAUUAAACUAUAUGGCUUUCGCCAAAAUAACUAGCA